rnacentral:rRNA from 1 species
CAAUAGCGUAUAUUAAAGUUGUUGCAGUUAAAAAGCUCGUAGUUGGAUUUGUGGUGUAUGGUGUGUUCCGGGCACUUGUUGUCUGAGUAACUUGCCAUUGCCAUCCUUGGGUGAAACCUGUGUGGCAUUAGGUUGUCGUGCGGGGGAUGCCCAUCGUUUACUGUGAAAAAAUUAGAGUGUUCAAAGCAGGCUUAUGCCGUUGAAUAUAUUAGCAUGGAAUAAUAAGAUAGGACUUUUUUGCUAUUUUGUUGGUUUGCGCGAGAAGGUAAUGAUUAAUAGGGAUAGUUGGGGGUAUUCGUAUUCCAUUGUCAGAGGUGAAAUUCUUGGAUUUUUGGAAGACGAACUACUGCGAAAGCAUUUACCGAGGAUGUUUNCAUUA